rnacentral:ncRNA from 2 species
AUGAAGAUGACGGGAGAGUCUGUCCAGGGGCUUACACGCUGGCGGCACCGAAGGAGCAAGACGCCAACACCCGGCUGGCGGAUAAUCUCUCAGGUCCAUGUAUCGUCAUCUGACG